rnacentral:rRNA from 1 species
AUUGAACGCUGGCGGCAGGCCUAACACAUGCAAGUCGAGCGGGGUUUUCGGACCUAGCGGCGGACGGGUGAGUAAUGCGUAGGAAGCUACCCGAUAGAGGGGGAUACCAGUUGGAAACGACUGUUAAUACCGCAUAAUGUCUACGGACCAAAGUGUGGGACCUUCGGGCCACAUGCUAUCGGAUGCGCCUACGUGGGAUUAGCUAGUUGGUGAGGUAAUGGCUCACCAAGGCGACGAUCCCUAGCUGGUUUGAGAGGAUGGUCAGCCACACUGGAACUGAGACACGGUCCAGACUCCUACGGGAGGCAGCAGUGGGGAAUAUUGGCCAAUGGGCGCAAGCCUGAUCCAGCCAUGCCGCGUGUGUGAAGAAGGCCUUCGGGUUGUAAAGCACUUUCAGUAGGGAGGAAGCGUUGUGUGUUAAUAGUACACAGCGUUGACGUUACCUACAGAAGAAGCACCGGCUAACUCUGUGCCAGCCGCCGCAGUAACAC